CACUCGAGGUUCCUCUUGUGUUUCAAUACAGAUUCCAGCUGCUAGCUAAUCAAUUUUAGUUUCCUAUUACUACUACACCCCUACUAGUUUUUCCAAGCAUGGCAUCUGGAAAUGGGAACGACUGGUCUACCGGCCUCUGUGGUUGCACCCAAGAUUGCCGUUCCUGUUGCCUUACCUGCUGGUGCCCUUGUGUUGCCUUCGGGAGGAUUGCUGAGAUCGCGGAUAGAGGCCAAUCCUCUUGCUGCCAGAUGGGGUGCGUUUUCUGUCUGCUAGGUCUACUCCUGUUGAAUCAUGGGUCCUUGUCAUGGAUUGUUAGCAUGGGCUAUCGCACCAAGAUAAGGCAACAAUACGGUAUUAUGGGAGGCUCAUGCCAUGAUUGUAUCCUUCAUUUCUGUUGCGAGCGUUGCGCCUUGUGCCAAGAGUACCGUGAACUUCAGUUCCAAGGAUAUGAUGUUUCUGCUGGUUGGGAAGCAAAUGCUGCUAAAAAGACUGCUGGGGUAACUAUGGCUCCAGUUGGAAUACAGAUGACACGUUAGCUCAAAAGAUCUUCUGAAUUAUGGCCUGAACUCAUUUUGCACCUUCAAUUCGAAAACCUUAUCCUGUUAAUUUUUCCAUUAAAUUUUCUAUUUGCAAUAAUCUAGUACCUAAUAAAGCUCUUUAUCAACAAGGUGCAAAAUGAGAUUAGUACAACUUUAUCAAGUGAGCUCGUCUUCUGCCAUAUCAUUCAUCUGAUAUGAUAUCAAACAUCAAGCAUUUUCGGCCUUGGAUAUACCUUGUUCCAAAACACAAUCACCAAAACCUUAUGAAUUUAUUGAUAAAGUUUGCGAGGUAAAAUUCCCAUCAUACUUUUACAUAGUAUUAGAUUAGAUUAGUCUAUAUUUAUUAAAUCAGGAUACAAACUUUUAUGUACAUUUCAAGUAGGAAUUAUUCAACUGUGAACUAACACGAAAGAAAAGUAAAUUUAAAUCUAAAUUAACCAAA